UACGGGGGGGGCAAGCGUUGUUCGGAAUUACUGGGCGUAAAGGGCUCGUAGGCGGCCAACUAAGUCAGACGUGAAAUCCCCAGGCUCAACCUGGGAACUGCGUCUGAUACUGGAUGGCUUGAAUCCGGGAGAGGGAUGCAGAAUUCCAGGUGUAGCGGUGAAAUGCGUAGAUAUCUGGAGGAAUACCGGUGGCGAAGGCGGCAUCCUGGACCGGCAUUGACGCUGAGGAGCGAAAGCCAGGGGAGCAAAGCGGG
rnacentral:rRNA from 1 species